rnacentral:lncRNA from 12 species
AUGUUCAUAAUGUUCAAAUCUGUAUUCACAGUUCCAGGAUGCAGGGAUACACACGCAAUUUUAGAGUGCCCUCGUCCCAGCUCAAUGGAUAGGUUUCUAUUGGCCAUGUUUAAGGCAGCUUUAGACAUCCAGCUGUACCAGCCUCCAAGAGCUGAAGACAGAAAAAUAAACCAACAUAAAUGUAUGCAACAGGCAAACACAACAAGGUGUCUUCAGCCCUUGUUACCAAACACUAGUUCUUGAGAGAAAAGACUGAAAGAGGAUGUGCUUAAAAAAAGAAAGAUCACCUUUGAUUAAUGUUGAAGAAUUUUUUUUUUAUUAAAUGAAUUUAUAUGCAUAUAAAUGCAUGAUAUUGAUUGUUGUUCGUUUGUUUAUUUAUUUAUUUAUUUUUGUGUUUGUUUGUAAUACAUAUUUAUGUAUUAAACAAUUUAUGGACAAUCAUGGUGUGGUGUUUAUAUAGUCAAAUUAUAUUAGUAAUGUAUAAUAUUAAUAAUAAUAAUAAUAAUAAUGUUAUUGCUAUCUAGAAAAAGGUUUAAAAAGGAACUGAUGAGGGUCAUUAAUGCACCUUUAAAUGAGGGUUCCAAUUAGAACCUUUUCAAAAAGGUUAAAAAACGAACCUUUAAGGUUCCCCCACAGUUGCAAUCUCCAGGAACCUCAAAAAGUUCAUUUUUUAACCUUUUCUUCUAAGAGUGAGAGGUGGUGUGAUCUGCUUCACUGCUAAAAGACCCGCUAGUGCACGGUAACUUAUUUUUAAUGAGUCUUAUGUUUUCCUUUGCUUGAUCUAUUGUAAAUGAAGACACAUUUAAUUAGUCAAUUAAACUAUUUUUAACACAUAUGCUUUAAGAGACAUACAAAAUGUGCAGGGCAGGGGGCUGGAGAGCCACUGCUGUAGUUCAUAUGUGCGCUAUGCUCGCACCUGAGAAGAAGUCGCGCGCUCAGUGCACACUUGGGUAAUAGCGCAUUUGCUCUGUUCUUAUAUUUUGUCACUAGGAGGCGCCAGUGUAGCUUGUUUCUGGAAGAAAUUUCCAAAGUUCUGUUUUUCAGUCUGGUUGAUGUGGAAUCAUGUUCUUCUGUACUGGAAACAGAACUGGUUUGAAUACAAACCAGCAUUUUUAAUGCAUUUCAGUUUUAUUUGCUCUUUUCAAUUACAGUGUCCUGGUGGUUAGGCUAUUAUUUUAAAUUAAAAUUAAAGUUAAAGUAAAUUAAAAAAUAUAUAUACUGGAUGGGGAUAAAGGAUAGCAUAAUUUCUAAAUUAUCACAAUAUUCACACACAAAAUUUAAAAUGUCACAAAUUACACAAUAUAUUAAAUACUUGAGUUAAAACCCACGCCUAUCAGUGCAGGUUGUAACAACAGCACUAUUUUUUCUUGUUAUUUUAUAAUUAUUUUAAUUUGCAGACAGAAUGGAAAAAUGAGAGACACAAAACUCUAUUUUGUUAAUCCAUUCAGUUCAUUAUCAAUUCAUGGUUAUUAUAAAUUUGGUGUUGUGAGGGGAAAAAGACUGACAUCUCACAUCUGUUUGCUAACGCGUGGGUUACACCCGUUAAUGCUUAAAAACAAAAAGUUAAACUUCCCUCUCACUCAGUUUUUGUUAGAAUACGGUGUGCAAAAAAGACGAAUCAAUAAUCUCCUCUAAAAACAGAGAAAUUAGCCGCGCGUCAGUGACUGAACGCUAAUCGGAUGCGCAUCACUCAUUGCGCGCGCAGCUGUGAUCUCGUGCCAUCAUCGGGCGCUCUGAAAAGUUC